AGUGUUUUCUUUCCUUCGGCCUCGAAAUUUUUAUGCCAACCCUAAAAAGCCUUCCCUUCCUGAACUCGUGUCCUUCGAACCCCUCUCCGACAAACCCCUCUCCUCAAAUCUCUCCUUUGAACUCCUCUUCGUCCAACCCCUCUAUGAUGAAACCCUCUCUAUGAAUCUCUCCUCUGAACACCUUCAAAUAAUAGCUUGUUUUUUAGGAUCAGUCAUGCCUUGCCUUGAAAGCCUUCACUACCACCCGAAGCAAGCAGUGGUACCAUGUCGAUCUCAACCUCUACACAGAGAUGGUCUCCACGUUGUCUAGGUGCGGAUCGCUGCACAAGAUCGAUACCCUAGUCGCUAAUCUAAUGGAGGAGGGAUGGCUCUCCGCGGAGACCGCCAAGGGGGUUCCCCAGCUCGUUAGGGCUUUGAUGGCCGAUCGCCAACGCCAUGGUGGAGAUACGGACUCAUCCUCUCUCAUCUGGCGCGCCCACCCCAGCGGAGGAGCUCCCAACGGCGAACACUCCCAGAGCAGCUGCGAAGCAUCCAUACCUAAAGCUGCGAUUCCUGGUGAUUUUCUCUGACAUGAUUUUCAGCAGUUUUCAAUCUGAGGAGAUUACUGAGGAAUCUCCAGAAAGGGCCAUCUUGAAGAUCCUAGACGAGUUCCUAGCAAAGAUAAAAUCAAAUGACACUAGACUUACAAUGAAAGAAUUAGAAGUGACAUUGAAGAAUUUCAAGGAUUUAAAGAAAAUCCUCCUAGAGAAGAUCGAGGAGAUCGAGAGAGGUAAUAUUGGUCGAAGGGGUGGAUAUUCGAAGAAGAUAGCACUUACUGUCAUUUGCGUUUUUAUAUUUUCCAUUAAAUGUCUCAUUUCAUUCUAGACCAACCUUGUAAGCAUAUGAAUAUUGGUCAAUAUUUGAUGCAAAUGUUUUGAGUUUGAAGGAAUUCACUGAUCCAACGCCUAAAGAAGGAACAUCCAUUUUGAAGGCAAUAUCUUCUGCUAUGGUAUUGCUCAAAGACAGGAUUUAGCUAAUAGUCUUUGCCUCAGUUUUCUUAAAGGAGUUAUUUAUCCUUGGUAGUGAACCAAGAUGAGAAGUCUCGAAGGAAGAAGCUUGAACAACCAAAAAAGAAACAUACUUUGUCAACAAGUGUCCCAAGAGCAUUACAUAUGUUAUAUUGUUAUAGUUUGAUGCUGUUAAACAAUCUUCCUCAGUAUCUUAAAUGGCACUUUAUCCUAAUCAACAGGAUUAAUGCACUAUUGCAGGUCAAAUUAGCACAAGUGAGAAGAGAUCAAAAUAUCUCAACUACAACUGUGCUCACAGGAUUUGGGUCUGGGCUUCUCAGAGAUGAGUUGUAUUGGAGAUGGACUAACAGUGGUAAUAGUUGUAUGUUCACAGUGAAAUCUCCAUUAGAUCUGGAAGGUACAAAUUUUUGGACCUCUUUUGCCCCAAAGAAGGUACAAAUUUCAAUCGGCUGCUGGCCUGCUGCUCAUUGGUGUGUUCCUGCUGGUUGGAGGCAGUGUUGACGGAGUUGAUAUUUUGUGCUUUUUUGUUUAAUUUGUGAAUAUUACUAUCUACUUUAAAACAGAAUUAGUGUUAAUUUUGAUAUUUACUAGUUUCUCAUGUAAUUAAAUAUUAAUAUUACUUCAAUGUUAGAAUUCUAUUAUUUUGGUAUGA